GUUCUGUUUCAAUGACAUCUUCUGAAGCUACAAUUCUAUCUUUUUCUUCUUCACUGACAGCUUCUGUAGUGACAAUGCUAUCUUGUUCUGUAAUAUCUUCUGUUGGAGUAACAUCUUUUAAGUCAAUAACAUUUUCGGAUGAAAAGACAUCUUUUCUUCCAGUAAGAUCUUCUGGUUCAGCAACAUCUUCAAUUGUAGUUACAUCUUUUGUGUCAUUGACAUCUUUUGUUGGAGUAUAUUCUUCUGUUGUGGUACUGACAUAUUCUGUUCGAAUUAUAUCUUCUUUUGUUUCAGUAACAUCG